rnacentral:rRNA from 1 species
GGAGGAAAAGAAACUAACAAGGAYUCCCCUAGUAACUGCGAGUGAAGCGGGAAAAGCUCAAAUUUAAAAUCUGGCGGUCUUUGGUCGUCCGAGUUGUAGUCUGGAGAAGUGUUUUCCGUGCUGGACCGUGUACAAGUCUCUUGGAACAGAGCGUCAUAGAGGGUGAGAAUCCCGUCUUUGACACGGACUACCAGUGCUUUGUGAUGCGCUCUCAAAGAGUCGAGUUGUUUGGGAAUGCAGCUCAAAAUGGGUGGUAAAUUCCAUCUAAAGCUAAAUAUUGGCGAGAGACCGAUAGCGAACAAGUACCGUGAGGGAAAGAUGAAAAGCACUUUGGAAAGAGAGUUAAACAGUACGUGAAAUUGCUGAAAGGGAAACGCUUGAAGUCAGUCGCGUUGAUCAGAACUCAGCCUUGCUUUUGCUUGGUGCAUUUUCUGGUUGACGGGCCAGCAUCGAUUUUGACCAUCGGAAAAAGGCCAGGGGAAUGUGGCACCUUCGGGUGUGUUAUAGCCCUUGGUCACAUACGGUGGUUGGGAUCGAGGACCGCAGCACGCCUUUAUGGCCGGGGUUCGCCCACGUUCGUGCUUAGGAUGC